rnacentral:lncRNA from 1 species
AUAUGACUGUGUAUUAUCACGACCUUUGAACAUAUGGUUCCUCUUAUAUUUAUAGUAUUUAUGUAUCUAAUUUAGUUAACUUCUUUGAUGGAAGGGUGUGGCAUAAACGUUAAAUAAAAGUUUUUAAGUCAACUUACCUUGAAGAACGUUUAGAAUUGUAAAAGCUGAUAAAAUCCGUUUAAUAUUUUCCAUAAUUCAAUUUUCAUACAUAUAAACUUCCUUGAUGAAUUUACACAAUAAUUGGUGUCGCUUUUCUUUAAUAACAAAAGACGUUAAGUCGAAUCAAAAAUUUAAAAUCUGCAGAUUAAAUUUUAAACCGACAUUGCACAGGUGAAAUAUAUUGUCAUGUCAAAUUGUACAAGUUUCAAGCAUCGAUAAUGUCUAUAUUGUAUUACUCCAAAAGUGGUAAAUAUUACAAUUUUUGUACAAGGUCAUGCUCUAGUGGCAACAGGUCAC